rnacentral:rRNA from 1 species
GACGAACGCUGGCGGCGUGCUUAACACAUGCAAGUCGAGCGGUAAGGCCCUUUCGGGGUACGACGAGCGGCGAACGGGUGAGUAACACGUGGGUGACCUGCCCUCAGCUCUGGGAUAAGCCUGGGAAACCGGGUCUAAUACUGGAUAUGACUCCAUGACGCAUGUUGUGGGGUGGAAAGCCUUGUGCGGCUGAGGAUGGGCCCGCGGCCUAUCAGCUUGUUGGUGGGGUGAUGGCCUACCAAGGCGACGACGGGUAGCCGGCCUGAGAGGGCGACCGGCCACACUGGGACUGAGACACGGCCCAGACUCCUACGGGAGGCAGCAGUGGGGAAUCUUGCGCAAUGGGCGAAAGCCUGACGCAGCGACGCCGCGUGAGGGAUGACGGCCUGGUGUAAC